UUAGAUCAAUAAGUAUGGAAUGUGUUCCUAACAGACAUAUUUCUUGAUCUUCUAG
ensembl:miRNA